rnacentral:rRNA from 1 species
UACGAAGGGGGCUAGCGUUGCUCGGAAUCACUGGGCGUAAAGGGUGCGUAGGCGGGUCUUUAAGUCAGGGGUGAAAUCCUGGAGCUCAACUCCAGAACUGCCUUUGAUACUGAAGAUCUUGAGUUCGGGAGAGGUGAGUGGAACUGCGAGUGUAGAGGUGAAAUGCGUAGAUAUCUGGAGGAACACCAAUAGCGAAGGCAGCUCGCUGGGACGUUACUGACACUGAGGCGCGAAAGCGUGGGGAGCGAACAGG